GCCUGCGCCUUUGGGCUGUCAGUCGGCGGCGGCGUGGGGAGCCACGCGAGCGAGCGGUUGUGGUGCGCGGGGACGUGAGGUAAAGCUGCGGCUGGUUCGCUGCCAGGCUGCGCACGAGCUGGCUGGCGGGUUUGUAAAAAUGGAAUUUCAAGCAGUAGUAAUGGCAGUUGGAGGGGGAUCUCGGAUGACAGACCUGACUUCCGGUAUUCCCAAACCUCUGCUUCCAGUUGGGAACAAACCUUUAAUUUGGUACCCAUUGAAUCUGCUUGAACGUAUUGGAUUUGAAGAAGUCAUUGUCAUUACCACCAGGGAUGUCCAAAAGGCUCUAUGUGCAGACUUCAAGAUGAAAAUGAAGCUAGAUAUUGUGGGUAUUCCUGAUGAAGCUGACAUGGGAACUGCAGAUUCUCUGCGCCACAUAUAUCAGAAACUUGAGACAGAUGUACUGGUCCUGAGCUGUGAUCUGAUAACAGAUGUUGCCUUACAUGAGGUAGUGGACCUGUUCAGAGCUCAUGAUGCAUCGCUUGCUAUGUUAAUGAGAAAAGGUCAAGAUGGCUUAGAACCAGUUCCAGGUCAAAAGGGGAAAAAAAAAGCAGUGGAGCAGCGUGACUUCAUUGGAGUGGACAGCACAGGAAAGAGGCUGCUCUUCAUGGCUAAUGAAGCAGACUUGGAUGAGGAGCUGGUCAUUAAGGGAUCCAUCCUGCAGAAGCACCCUAGAAUACGUUUCCACACAGGCCUUGUGGACGCCCAUCUCUACUGCUUGAAAAAAUACGUUGUGGACUUCCUAAUGGAAAAUAAGUCAAUCACUUCCAUCCGGAGCGAACUGAUUCCAUACCUAGUAAGAAAACAGUUCUCCUCAGCUUCAUCACAACAAGGACAGGAAGAAAAAGAAGAGGAUCUAAAGAAAAAGGAGCUGAAGUCCUUAGAUAUUUACAGUUUUAUAAAAGAAGCCAAUACGCUGACCUUUGCUCCCUAUGAUGCCUGCUGGAAUGCCUGUCGAGGAGACAGCUGGGAAGAUUUGUCCAGGUCACAGGUGCGCUGUUACGUCCACAUCAUGAAAGAGGGGCUCUGCUCUCGAGUGAGCACCCUAGGACUCUACAUGGAAGCCAACAGACAGGUGUCCAAAUUGCUCCCUGUUAUCUGUCCGGAAGAAUCACUGGUCCAUUCAUCAGCCCAGAUUGUCAGCAAACACCUGGUUGGAGUUGACAGCCUCAUUGGGCCAGAUACACAGGUUGGAGAGAAGUCAUCCAUUAAGCACUCAGUCAUUGGUUCAUCCUGUGUCAUAAGAGAUAGAGUGACUGUCACCAGUUGCCUUCUCAUGAACUCAGUUACCGUGGAGGAAGGAAGCAACAUCCAGGGCAGCGUCAUCUGCAAUAAUGCUGUAAUCGAGAAGGGAGCAGACAUCAAGAACUGCCUAAUUGGAAGCAGCCAGAGGAUUGAAGCCAAAGGCCACGCUGAGAGGCUUACAGUAUCUUAGUUCCCCGACCAGGGAUUGAACCCGUGCCCUCGGCAGUGAAAGCGCGGAGUCCUAACCACUGGACAGCCAGGGAAUUCCCUCAUGCUCCAUUUUGAAGGCGGCCUGCCAAAACAAGAGGGCCACGUCUGUCAUCAGAUUCGCGUUUUAGAGAGAUGACUGGCCUCAGUGGAGAGAGUGGACUGACGUGGGAGAGAAUGGAGGCAGAGAGUUGUGAAAAGCAGUCUUUGGGUCUUGGUUGGGUCGGCCAGCAGAUACCUUUUCUCAGCAUUGGUCUCUCCUGACUUAACAUUUG